AUUUUUCAAUCACAUCAUAAUAAGCAAUAAACAAAAUACUGUGAAUUAUUGUUUAAAUUAAACUUUAAAUUGCGUUUUUCGUACUGAUUAUUAUCUGAGCAAAAUGUAAAGUCUCCUUCCCCGCUCUACGAGCUGCGGCUGACAACUGCUUAAGCAUAUCAGAGGCAGGAAUAAAUUCGAAAUUUAAUUCAAAUCAAAACUUCUCAUAGCGCUUAGAGGAAGAACACAGAGUUUCAAAGCUUUUCAAUGCUGUUUUCCCAGCAUCUGUCAGAAAAAUAAACAAAACUGCAAAUUUUAUCGUGCUGAACGUUUAUGCGCAAAUUGCUUCCAGGUUUCCGUCGCCAUCGUCGUCGUCGUCGUCAUCGUCGUCGCCGUCGCGUUUACUGUCGGUGUGUCGCCUUAUCGAAUUUCAGGGAAGCGACCCCGUGAACGCUGUGUGUGUGUGAGGAUGAUGCCAGGACUCAGUUAAGGAGGACGAGAGACUUUAGGGCUCGGGACUCAAGCUGAAGACGACGUCGCGUCUCGUCGCCAGUUUGACAAUGGGCACAGAUUUCUCCAUGGCGUGCUCCACAGCAUAGUAAAGUUUCGUUGCUCAAGGCGUGAAAUGAAAUCGACAGUAAUUUGUGUUUAUCUCUGCCAAUAUGUGUGCGUUUGUCUGUGUGAAUCUGUAUCUGCAUCCGUGUUGAAAUAACAAUUGUCACAACUUUUACUACGGCUUGCAAUUCGAAAAGUUGUGCGACAAGAAAUUACUUUAAUUUGUGAACUUGACUUUAUCAAACUAUCAGAUCUCCCCCCAAAACGGAUGGCUUGUGUUAAUGCAAACCAAACAAAUAUUUCAUCUGCGUCUCUGAUUCGUAUUCAGUCAGUCAAUAUAAAGCCAACUUCAUCAUAUUGCCAUACGAGUGCGUCUAUUUAGAUGUGGAAGGCUACCAAAUGGAAAUGGAGCUACGAAAAUCGCUUUGAUGGCGCAUAACAUUUAAAUCAGAGGAUGCUGACUAGAAAAGGAACGUCUUCAGACUAGCUGCUGAAGGGUAAAGAGAAUGGCAAAAUACUGUAAAAAAAACAAACAAAUUUACAUAAAUGCGGAGAGAGUGAGGGAAAUUUAAAA